rnacentral:rRNA from 1 species
UACGGAGGGUGCAAGCGUUAUCCGGAUUCACUGGGUUUAAAGGGUGCGUAGGUGGGUUGGUAAGUCAGUGGUGAAAUCCCCGAGCUUAACUUGGGAACUGCCAUUGAUACUGGCGAUCUCGAGUCCGGGAGAGGUGAGUGGAACUGCGAGUGUAGAGGUGAAAUUCGUAGAUAUUCGCAAGAACACCAGUGGCGAAGGCGGCUCACUGGCCCGGUACUGACGCUGAGGUGCGAAAGCGUGGGGAGCAAACAGG